GGACAAGAUGAAGGAGCACCUCCUGCCAGUAAUUGGGUCCUAGGUCCCAGGAAACUCAUAAAUGAGAUCCCAGCUUGAAGCCAUGGGGAGCGCUAGGCGGUUGGUUUUGAGAGAUGCCAUUUAUAUUUACAGCAAAUUGUCCCUGAUGUAGCCAUGUACAUUUACAUCCCACUUUUAAUCCAGUGAGGUCAACAUGACUGUUCCCAUGUUAUCCUCGUAACAACCCAAUGAGUGGUAAGUUAGGUGAAGAUCAAUGAACUUCAUGGCUGAGUAGGAAUUUGAACCUGGGUCUCUGUGGUCUCCGUGCUAUCCUUUUACCCAUCAACAGCUACUGUUUAAAGGGCAGGGAGAGUUUGGGUCCUGGCAACUGCUCUAGAAUGCCACAAUCUGACACUAGGCCCACUAAGGACCCCAGAGUCUUGACAACUAUUGACUUCAUAUUUGGUUUCCCACAGAGAAACCCCCCAGUGUCAAAUAUGACAAGCUACAUGCCAGUCCUAGGCUAACUGCUGCAUAUUAGCGCCUUCUAUUUGGGGCAUAUGAAAUGGUCACUUUCUUUGGAUGAUAGAAGAAAAAUCCUGGAGACAUAGGCUCAGAAUGCAUCCACGCUGUCUUUCAUGAUCAUUUAUUAAUUUCAUCUAUAGCCUGCCUUUUCCUGCAAGGAGCAGUGAAAACAGAAUUCAUCCUCUUAAGACGAUGAGUUUUUUCCGCCCUCCUCCUUUCAAUGACUGCUGGUUAUGCACACAUAUGUCUUUCCACCCCAACACCUGAUUUUGUUGGGCAAUAGAAAACAAACAAGGAACAGACUUAGGAAUGUUGGCAUGGGGUUAAGAUGUGCAAGUUUUGUGUUGGUGUUUUUUUUUAAAGGACAAUUGCACUUCCCCUUGAAGGAAGCAAUAAGGUGUCUCCUGGGGGAAAUUGCUGAAUAGGUGGGCAUGUGCAAAAUCAGGUUGAUCUAUUUCUGUUUUUAAACAGAGCGGCAAAAAACAUCAUAGUCCCCCGACUGAACAGUAGGCAGGAAGAGGAGAUUCAGAAUAGUCUCCAGGGGUGGUUGGUGCCCAUUGAGACUAGACAGAAGACAGAGAGGCCACAGGCACAGCCAACUAAUUCUAGUUUUGUCCCCAUCCUCCUCUCUGCCAAGUGCUACAAAGGCAACACGGAAACUAAGGAGCAGGAAACUGACAGCCAGAACCACCUCAUGGACUGGAUAUUAGUAAGUAGGCAGGCAUGUGGAGUCUAGUUCAAGUUAGGGCAUUCACCCUAAUGGACAAGCAAAUCUUGCACAAGAUGCAGAGAACAAUCUAACAAUCACUACUGAAUCUGGUGUGAUGUAAGAAGCCACAUCUGUUUAUUCAUCUGCCUGUCCCAUUUACGCAUAAAGCAAUAAUGUUUCCAAUGAAAAAAGUGCAUGCAGAUAAAGGGAACUGAAUUCUUCUCUCUGUCCUGCCUCCUGCACUGUGCUCAGUUUCUUCCAGCAGCCUGAUACCAAAAGGAGCCACCAUGCCAUCUUACAAAUUGCUUAUGAAUAUGAGUGAAUGUUACAGCAUGUUGCAAGGUGGUCUUUCUCUGUGAGAGAUACACAUGCUAUAAAGAGAUGUACCUAAUUGGCAUUGCAAGGCUGUAGGCUGAAAAUGAAGUCUUUCUUUGUUUCUUAGGGCCUCCUCAGUAUGUUUUUAGGGUACCUAUGGUGUUUUGAGCAUACAUUUAAAAGUCUAAAUUAUAGAUUCCACUUAGGCAUACCAGCAUUAUUGCACAAUUCCCCAGAUACCCCCUGUACUUUGAAGCAAUGCAAUAUACAAUCCUAAAUUCUUAAUAUGAAAGGUUUCACCAAAGGCAUUUGGUUAUGCCAGUCUCAAGAACUAGAGUGCAAAUGGGAAUCUGCGGCCUUUUCAGAUGUUGUUGGACAUCAGCCCCAGCCAGCGUGGCCAGGGACCAGGAAUGACGACAGGAGCUGUAGUCCAGUAACAUCUGGAGAGCCACAGGUUUCCCAUCCCUGGAUCAGUAGAGAUAAACCAGAGACGUAGCUAUGGGUGGGGAGGGGCUAGCGAGGCUUUUUGCCCAAGGUGAAGCCUCCAGAGGGCCCCAUUGAGGGACCAUCCUCUGUGUCUGUGUGUGCACACGCAUGCACACACACACACACACACACACACAAAUAAAUGUGUGUGGAUGUGGGUGUGUGCCAAACUGGGUCUUUGACCCAGGUGAAAUGAAUCCUAGUUUUGCCCCUGAAUCUUUGUGUGUGUGGUUAAUCCUUUUUUUCCAGGUGGUGGCAGUAGGUCCAGAAGGGCCAAAACGUGGUUGGCCUGAUUCCACUUCAAGCAACUUUGUCAGAGUUAAAGCAAAUAAGCAGAAUUCAAACUUCUCGCCAGGGGAGCCAUCUCCCUCCACCAACUGAGACACAAGAAUUUUCUGAUUUUUCUGUUUAUCAUUUGAUAAAUAAUAGUAACCCAUUUGAUAUAAAAGCAAUAAUUUUA